AACGGGGCAUGCCUUAGUACGGCGAGUGAGCGGCAAAAGCUCAAAUUUGAAAUCUGGUACCUUCGGUGCCCGAGUUGUAAUUUGGAGAGGGCAACUUUGGGGCCGUUCCUUGUCUAUGUUCCUUGGAACAGGACGUCAUAGAGGGUGAGAAUCCCGUGUGGCGAGGAGUGCGGUUCUUUGUAAAGUGCCUUCGAAGAGUCGAGUUGUUUGGGAAUGCAGCUCUAAGUGGGUGGUAAAUUCCAUCUAAAGCUAAAUAUUGGCGAGAGACCGAUAGCGAACAAGUACAGUGAUGGAAAGAUGAAAAGAACUUUGAAAAGAGAGUGAAAAAGUACGUGAAAUUGUUGAAAGGGAAGGGCAUUUGAUCAGACAUGGUGUUUUGUGCCCUCUGCUCCUUGUGGGUAGGGGAAUCUCGCAUUUCACUGGGCCAGCAUCAGUUUUGGUGGCAGGAUAAAUCCAUAGGAAUGUAGCUUGCCUCGGUAAGUAUUAUAGCCUGUGGGAAUACUGCCAGCUGGGACUGAGGACUGCGACGUAAGUCAAGGAUGCUGGCAUAAUGGUUAUAUGCCGCCCGUCUUGAACCCCCGAACC
rnacentral:rRNA from 1 species